GACAGAGGGUGCAAACGUUGUUCGGAAUUACUGGGCGUAAAGCGCGUGUAGGCUGCUCCGAAAGUCAGGUGUGAAAGCCCCGGGCUCAACCUGGGAAGUGCACUUGAAACCUCGGAGCUUGAAUGCCGGAGAGGGUAGCGGAAUUCUCGGGUGUAGAGGUGAAAUUCGUAGAUAUCGAGAGGAACACCGGUGGCGAAGGCGGCUACCUGGACGGCUAUUGACGCUGAGACGCGAAAGCGUGGGGAGCAAACAGG
rnacentral:rRNA from 1 species